rnacentral:rRNA from 1 species
UACGUAGGGUGCGAGCGUUGUCCGGAAUUAUUGGGCGUAAAGAGCUCGUAGGCGGCUGUCCACGUCGGAUGUGAAAGCUCGGGGCUCAACCCUGAGAGGCCAUUCGAUACGGGAUAGCUAGAGGUAGGUAGGGGAGAUUGGAAUUCCUGGUGUAGCGGUGAAAUGCGCAGAUAUCAGGAGGAACACCGGUGGCGAAGGCGGUUCUCUGGGCAUUACCUGACGCUGAGGAGCGAAAGUGUGGGGAGCGAACAGG